rnacentral:rRNA from 1 species
AACGAACGCUGGCGGCAUGCCUAACACAUGCAAGUCGAACGAAGGCUUCGGCCUUAGUGGCGCACGGGUGCGUAACGCGUGGGAAUCUGCCCUUGGGUACGGAAUAACUCCUAGAAAUGACUGCUAAUACCGGAUGAUGACUUCGGUCCAAAGAUUUAUCGCCCAGGGAUGAGCCCGCGUAGGAUUAGCUUGUUGGUGAGGUAAAAGCUCACCAAGGCGACGAUCCUUAGCUGGUCUGAGAGGAUGAUCAGCCACACUGGGACUGAGACACGGCCCAGACUCCUACGGGAGGCAGCAGUGGGGAAUAUUGGACAAUGGGCGAAAGCCUGAUCCAGCAAUGCCGCGUGAGUGAUGAAGGCCUUAGGGUUGUAAAGCUCUUUUACCCGGGAUGAUAAUGACAGUACCGGGAGAAUAAGCCCCGGCUAACUCCGUGCCAGCCGCCGCGGUAACAC